rnacentral:rRNA from 1 species
CCUACGGGAGGCAGCAGUGGGGAAUAUUGGACAAUGGGCGAAAGCCUGAUCCAGCAAUGCCGCGUGAGUGAUGAAGGCCUUAGGGUUGUAAAGCUCUUUUACCAGGGAUGAUAAUGACAGUACCUGGAGAAUAAGCUCCGGCUAACUCCGUGCCAGCAGCCGCGGUAAUACGGAGGGAGCUAGCGUUGUUCGGAAUUACUGGGCGUAAAGCGUACGUAGGCGGUUAUUCAAGUCAGAGGUGAAAGCCUGGAGCUCAACUCCAGAACUGCCUUUGAAACUAGGUAGCUAGAAUCACGGAGAGGUUAGUGGAAUUCCGAGUGUAGAGGUGAAAUUCGUAGAUAUUCGGAAGAACACCAGUGGCGAAGGCGACUAACUGGACGUGUAUUGACGCUGAGGUACGAAAGCGUGGGGAGCAAACAGGAUUAGAUACCCUGGUAGUCCACGCCGUAAACGAUGAUAACUAGCUGUUCGGUCUCUACGAGACUAGUAGUGGCGCGACGCGUACGACAUUAAGUUAGUACCGUCCGUCGGGUAGGUACGGUCGGCGAAGAAGUUAAAACGUUAAACGUUAAGUAAGUUAGUACGGUUCGUUGUAGACGUUGACCGACGGACGACGACGAGGGAGGAGG